rnacentral:misc_RNA from 1 species
ACCGAUACGCAUGACUACGAGGUCAAAAUGCGCUCGGUGAUGAAGUUCUUGGGCGAGGGCGACAAGGUGAAGGUGACCCUGCGGUUCCGUGGCCGCGAGAUGGCGCACCAACAACUUGGCCUUGAGCUUUUGAACCGCGUGGCCGCUGAUGUGGGCGAUGCUGGCAAGAUCGAAAGCAUGCCCAAACUUGAAGGCCGGCAAAUGGUGAUGAUGAUCGCGCCGAGAUAAGCCGCGCUUCACCCGCUGACGAACGGGCCCUCUUCGGAGGGCCUGUUUCGUUUGUCUGCUCCGUUUGCCUGCGGGGUGUCACCGG